CCCCGCCCUCUCGACCCCCCCUCCACCUAAACGGGGAGGUCCUCACCGGAUGCCUCAGAGGGAGCCUCUCCCUCAGUCCAUUAGUGUAUUCUAUGGUCUCAGCUGGAGGUCAUUCCACUGAGGAACCCGUCAUGCACUGGAUGCUAAUGGUCACCUAAUGAUGACUGAUGAGCUACAACAGGGCCAACGUCCCUCCUGAUGUAGCGGUAACAGAGACACCAGAGGGAGCAUAUCGCUAUUUAACACCAGUCACGUGAGGGGACAUUAUCGGGCCGAGGCGCUCCCGGUUCCCACACACUCGGCCCACCUGAUGCACUCACUGCCUGGGCGGAGGAUUGUGAUUGGACCCCCCUUCAGAGGAGAGGGGUGGAGCAGAGAGGAGGAGGAGGUGAGAGGGGUGGAGCAGAGAGGAAGAGGAGGUGAGAGGGGUGGAGCAGAGAGGAGGAGGAGGUGAGAGGGGUGGAGCAGAGAGGAGGAGGAGGUUGGCAGGGAGGCUGUAAGAACGCAUGCUUCAUUUAUUCAAGUUGAAAAGAGAAAGGAGGAGAAGAAAAAGGCCAGGAAGAAAAGAAGAAAAUUAAUAAAGACUCAUGCUUGAUUAGGCACCAUUCACCACAAACUAAAUACGUUGUUAAAUGAAGAGCUCUCUUUGGCUGCCAUGGAACCACUGGUGUAGCGGUGGCGGUGGUAGUGGGCACCCUCUCACUCUCCUUCACCUCCCUCACUCCUACUCUCUCGUCACUACUCCCCCACUGACUCACCAGGGCUGCCUGUGGCCAGCCAGAGGAACUGAGCUCCUAUUUCUGUCCAUCGGCUUUAGGGGCGAAUGAAACAUCUUCUCACAUGUUAUGUCUGUCUGGGGCAUGAGGGACUUAAGGGCUUUAUUUCACUUUCUUUACUAAGAUGCCUACCAUAUAAACUACUGUGACGACAGCAUGCUUCACCCCAUAAUUCACCCAUUUCGUCCUCAUUUUCAACGAGCAACACACGUUGGAUUUGAAUGUUUUUUAAAUUGAAAUUAGUUUGAAUUUAUCAAAACACUAGGUUGAGACGUUUACCAUGCAGUCGGUUGGUUCAUGAUUCAAGUAUUUUUUCUUUAUAUAUAUUAUCCAUCAUUUACCCUGUUCCUUGUUUAAAAAAAAUAUAUACUAACAUGGAGAACAGAUUUGUGCCCUCCAAUUCCAUUUCAACGUGGACCGGUUAACUGUUGUCUCUUGUUCUCUCUGUUUGGCUCUUUAUCGUUUCAGGGGAGAUCUGAAGAGUAACUGGAGGCAAAGGGUUAUUCACAACAACACCUGUUAGCAACUGCCAGUUCUGGAAUUUGUUCAUUUGAUCCCUAGAGGAGACCACAAGCUGUUAAAAAACGUAGAAACCUGCUAAAAUGACGACUUACUGUUUCUUACUGACUGAGUUCAUUGUUGAUCAAUGAAACCACUUAGCUGAAUAUGGGGAUUCAAGUUGAGGUCAGCCUUUCGCUAACCGUUAGCCUGAUAUGACAUUAUGUGCCAAUUUCACAUGCUUCAAGUUUCCACAAUUAGGUUCAUCAACACUUAAAAACAAAAAACACAUUGCAUUAAUAGCAUUAACAAAUAAAAAAUUUGAACCACGAAUUAAGUAUUUUUCAGCGAAUUAGCUUUACACCUUGUUAUCAAUUUAGUUUCUAAAAAGAAUAACAAUAAAAGCUAUUGCACCCAUGAUCUUACAUCAGUCAAUUAAUUAACUCGCCUAUGGUCAUUUAACGUGGCAAAUAGAUGAGUUAUUCUAUCGUUAUGUAUCCAAAACAGCUACUAGAAAUAUUAUAUCAUAUUCAGCCUCAUUGUUCUACAACCUCAUUGUAGAACAAAUUCAUUUGGCGAGAGUAGUUGGUACACACGAGUCAAUUGCUUAUUUGGGCACCAAAUGGAGGUUUUAGUCUUUCCAACAGUAAGCGGUGGACAGCGACAUGUUUACAACAGCAUUCACAGAGACCUCGUACCUCCUGGAACACGAACAACAAGUCAUCAUUUCAGCUAGCUUCACUCAGAUCUCUUUUGGCCGAUGGGUCCAAUCCGCUCUAAUGAAAGCUAACCACUAAAGAAGGAGAAUGCUAAGGGGAGUGUGGUUUAUUGACGUCAAGCUCAGGCUCUCUAGAAAUCCAAGUCAUCUAAUAAAAAUAGAAAAUAACAAAAAAUACUACGGAAUAGCAGUUUAAAAGCCACAAAUCAAGCACAAUAAUAAAAAUAAACUGAAUCAGAAUGUAAAUCAUCAAGACUUCCAAAUGUAUUCGAUUUGUUCCUGCCAUGUCUGGUUUCCCCAGAGACAUGCAACAGAGGGGGGGGGUGGGGUUGGGGGGUGGUUUAGCUCUCGGUUCGGUGCCUAGCGUCGCAUUUAUCCCCCUUCAGGCCCUGCCACCAUCUUAAGGCCAGUGGAAGCUCUGAUUUGUGGUAGUUAAAAACGUAAACUUCAUAUUUAUUUUGAAAUAACUACGUGUAGUAAGUAGGUGUGCAGCAUGGAGCUAGGAACUCACUCCUAAACUAAAACUACUAGUCGUCCAUCUUUGUUUGUUUGUUUCCCUCGAUUUUUCUGCCUUUGUCCUAUCCUUUUUAAUGUGUUAGUAUCAAUACAAAAAAACCAAAAAACAAAGAAAGUUUUUCAAAAAACGUCUGGAGUCACUGUGUGUGUGUGUUUGUGAUGGAGGCAAUGCUAUGCGAUACAUUAAGACAUUUUUCAUCGAGUUUUUGGAAAGGAAUGUAUCUGAAAAAGGAAUGCAAUGCUUGUAUUCAGACUGUUAACAUCGUAAAAAAGCUCUGAAAUUAGUAAUUAAAUAACCCUCUACUAUUUAUACAUUCAGGCACUGAAAAAUCACAUGUCAAUAUGUAACUAAAAAAGAUAGUCGCUCUCAACUUUCCCUUGGUAAGAACAAGGAAACUGAAACCUUGAAGUUGGCAAUUGUGUAAAUUUUCCUACUCAGUAGUAAUGCCAGACUCAUCCCACUGCAGCUCUCUCCAUGUUCUGAUGGGGAGCUCACCUCCUCCCCUGGCGUGGCACGCCGGCCCUCUCGCUCUCUUCCCGUCGCUGCCUCCCGGCCGCUGCCCCGGCCCGCGGCACGGGGUCGAAUCCGUUGCGAGGCGCGGUCCUUCUUCAAAUGGAACAUCAGGUGUUUCCGCCGUAACCUCCCUUCCCCCUUCUAGCCAAAUAAGCAGAUGGACGGACGGAGGGACGGACGGAUGCAGGGGUCCUCUAUCCUUCCCUGGACACGGGAGGGGGGCCAGAUGGGGCCGAGGCUCUCUCUCCCUCCCUCUCCCUCCCUCUCCCUCCCUCCCCUCAGACCAGACUCCAGGGGGGGCUCUCGGGUGUGACAGCCAGCUCUCACCCCAGCAACCCUGCACUCACUCUCAGUCUUCUGUAACUAUACAAGGGCUUUUACAAAAAAGCUAACUUGGACAGCCAUACAAUGGCUAAAACAUAAACCAUAUCUCUACUUUAUCUCGGUUUGUCAAAGUUGUCAAAGUUAUUUUCGUAAGCUUCUGUAUUUUUUUGUUUCUUUGUUUUUUUCAAUGUUGUGUUUUUUGUUGCGUCUGUCUACGCGUAUGUGAUUCUGUGUUUGUUUGGAGUUGUGGUGUGCUGUGCUGUGUGUCUGUGUGCAUGUGUGUGUGCUUAGGCAUUUAUUUGUGUGUGUGUGUGUGUGUGUCAGUGCAUGCUUGCGCGCGUGAUCUUAAAUGAAGUCUUUCCUUGUUUGUUAGCUCGGAGCCGGAGCUCCAGAGAUGUGCCGAGACCCAGAACAGCCAGCAGACCCAGCAGGCCCAGCAGGCCCAGCAGGCCCAGCAGGCCCAGCAGGCCCAGCAGACCCAGCAGGCCCAGCAGGCCCAGCAGACUCCGGGAGGGAGAUCUGUAGAGGAGGGGUGGGGGGAGAGAAUCCCACCCAGAGUCCAGGAUCCAGGGUCAAGGGUCAGGGGUCGUUUCCAUAAGGAUCCAUCACAGGGCCAGG
ensembl:lncRNA